GCUCAUCACAUCCUGGGGCUGAAGUAGGUCCCAAGGGUAUGGCUGUUCGCCAUUUAAAGUGGUACGCGAGCUGGGUUUAGAACGUCGUGAGACAGUUCGGUCCCUAUCUGCCGUGGGCGCUGGAGAACUGAGGGGGGCUGCUCCUAGUACGAGAGGACCGGAGUGGACGCAUCACUGGUGUUCGGGUUGUCAUGCCAAUGGCACUGCCCGGUAGCUAAAUGCGGAAGAGAUAAGUGCUGAAAGCAUCUAAGCACGAAACUUGCCCCGAGAUGAGUUCUCCCUGACUCCUUGAGAGUCCUGAAGGAACGUUGAAGACGACGACGUUGAUAGGCCGGGUGUGUAAGCGCAGCGAUGCGUUGAGCUAACCGGUACUAAUGAACCGUGAGGCUUAACCUUACAACGCCGAAGGUGUUU
rnacentral:rRNA from 1 species